GACUCGCUUGAACCUGGGGAGGUGGAGUUGCAGUGAGCUGAGAUUGAGCCACUGCACUCUAGCCUGGCGACAGAGUGAGACUCGGUCUCAAAAAAGAAAAAAAAGGCGGGGCGGCGGGGGAUUAAAACACAAAUAAGAGUUUGCCACUAGCAAAAAAGGAAGAGAUAGGUCUUGUAAAGCCAUGUUGAAAUUGGAUGCUGGGUGAACGGCUAGGUUUCCUUACCAGCCAAGUGUCUUAGUCAGUUUGUGCUGCUAUAAAGGGUGAGGGUGAGUAAUUUAUAAAGGAAAGAGGUUUAUCUGGCUCACAUUCUGCAGGCUGUACAAGAAACAUGGUGCCAGCAUCUCCUGGUGAGAAAGUCAGAUUGCUUCUACUCAUGGUGGAGAGGGAAGGAAAGAAGUGCGGGCAGAAAUCACACGGCAGGGAAGAAACAAGAGAGAGGGAAGGAGGUGCCAGACUUUUUUCAACAACCACUUCUUGUCGCUCCUACAAGAAUCUCACCAAGUCAUUGAUGAGGGAUCCACCCCAUGACCCAAACACCCCCAAGCAUCCCCCACCACCAACACUGGAGAUCAAAUUUCAACAUGAGACUUGACAGAGCCAAACAGACCAUGUUUAAAGCAUAGCACCAAGAAAGCAGUUUAUUCUCACUUGCCUAGAGUAGGAGUGAUUCAAGUUAAAAAUGCAUUUGUGGCCCUGGAACACUUCAAGUGUAUUAAAUGCCAAGUGUAUGUGGUAAUUAACGUAAAAUAUAAUGUAAUGUAACUUACUUAUACUUAUUAAUUGACUUCUGUUUCUCCUCACUAUAAAUUGUCAGCAUGCAGUUUUACUUCAAAUAAUAAUCCUUCUAAGUAUACCCAAUAAAAAAUAAUACCCAGAUGACUCACAUGAAAACAAAAAUUUAUUCAAAUUACCUCAAAUUUUAGAAAAUAAACUAAGAUUGACAUAGUCACCCAUUGCUCUUGUAAUUAUGAGGUUGACACCAAAUACACAUUAAUCAAUCAAAUAAAGAGUCUCAAUAGUCCGAGAUUCACGUGACCAACUGAACCAACCUUGUACAAAAUCAUUCAUUUUUUUUCUUUUGCCAAACGUAACAUAUACACAAUCUAUUUUGCUAUCGUUUAAUUUUAUAAGAAGAAAGUAAGGUCCAAAUUAGAGGCUUCUUUUGGUUAAUUUUUCCACAAACAUGUCUUACAGUAAAGGGCAUUUUCCCUUUAUCUUUUAGCUAUAUUUCUCCAGAUGAUCAAAUUAGUUGUGAAAAAGUAUUGGUUGUUUGGAGUGAAAAUGAUGAGCACCGGAAACACAUUAUCCUAAAAGAGAGAAAUGUUUAAUAUUUACAUUUCAUAGCAAGAAAUAUUGUACCUGGCUAAAAUAAACUGAGAAGUAGUUUACCAAUAAUGGUCUAUUGUCAUACUAAUAAAAAAAUUAUGUUUUUUCUUUUAAAUCUAGUAAGUUCUAAAUUACACUUUAAUGCAACCUCUGGUAAGCUCUAAAACAGAUUUAUAGUCUGUAAUUAUUGUCUUUAUUUCCACUCCAGUACUUCUACAUCUUACCCCCAUGGGGCUAAAAAGAAUAUUGAAACUUAGCACUAUUUAACAUACCAAUUAAAAAGACACAUUAAAAAUUAUAAUUAUGGCCAGGCACGGUGGCUCACGCCUGUAAUCCCAGCACUUUGGGAGGCCGAGGCAGUGGAUCAUUUGAGGUUAGGAGUUCAAGACCAGCCUGGCCAACACGGUGAAACCCCGUCUCUACUAAACAUACAAAAAAUUAGCCAGGAGUGGUGACAGGCGCCUGUAAUCCCAGCUACUGGGGAGGCUGAAGCAGGAGAAUCACUUGAACCCGGGAGGUGGAGGUUGCAGUGAGCCGAUAUGGCACCACUGCACUCCAGCCUGGGCAACAAGACUGAAACUCCGCCUCAAAAAAAAAAAAAAAAAAAAAAAAAAAGAAUUACAGUG
rnacentral:lncRNA from 1 species